CUCAGAUUGAACGCUGGCGGCAUGCCUUACACAUGCAAGUCGAACGGUAACGGGCCUUCGGGUGCCGACGAGUGGCGAACGGGUGAGUAAUGUAUCGGAACGUACCUUUCAGUGGGGGAUAACGUAGCGAAAGUUACGCUAAUACCGCAUAUUCUGUGAGCAGGAAAGCAGGGGAUCGCAAGACCUUGCGCUGAUUGAGCGGCCGAUAUCAGAUUAGCUAGUUGGUGAGGUAAAGGCUCACCAAGGCGACGAUCUGUAGCGGGUCUGAGAGGACGACCAGCCACACUGGGACUGAGACACGGCCCAGACUCCUACGGGAGGCAGCAGUGGGGAAUUUUGGACAAUGGGCGCAAGCCUGAUCCAGCCAUGCCGCGUGCGGGAAGAAGGCCUUCGGGUUGUAAACCGCUUUUGUCAGGGAAGAAAAGGUUCUGGCUAAUACCUGGGACUCAUGACGGUACCUGAAGAAUAAGCACCGGCUAACUACGUG
rnacentral:rRNA from 1 species